rnacentral:lncRNA from 1 species
GUUGUCGCCUCCAAGAAGGUGGGGGCCAGAGGGUGGGGAAGGGGACGGGUGGAGGGACAGAAGGGAUGCAGAGGACCAGAGAAGUUGUGGCUGCAGGUCCCCUCUUCCCGCUCGCGCCUGGGGUUCCCUCUCCUCCCCCUGUGCAGCACAGCCGGCGCGGGCGUCCGAGCGCCGGGAGCCGGGGCUUAUAUGGGACGGUCCCCUCCCGCCCCUCUGGAGGCCCGGGGCGCGGGGGAGGAGAGACCCGCCGGGCUGUCCCCGCCCCGCCCCACCCCACCCGCCCGCCCGCCCGCCGGCCGCCGCAGCCGACCGCGCGCCGAUUGGCCCGGGCUCCGGGUGACGUCACGGGGGACUGUGGGUUCGCAGCGAACAAAAGAGAUGCUGAUGGCCCGCCAGGACUGGGCUCCCUGUUCGGACUUCUUCCCUUCUCAGCGCUGUGCCUGUCUGGCUCUGAGAAAGGGCCAGCGGGCGAACGGGGAGCAAAGGGGAACAGAGACCUUUAAUGAGCUUCUACUAAGUACCGGGAGUUCCGCGGGGCGCUUUGCAGAUCCCGGGGAAGUUCAGAGAAUGAAGUUUUCUUUUGCAAGGACAAAGUAACAGUUUACUUUUUUACACAUGCAGGAAAGCCUUCCUUUCCUGGGGAUGGGACGCCCGUUUCCACUGAAAGUGAAAUCACUGUGAACAACCUGAAAAUUGGAAAGUUGGACCAGCUGUGGGGAGAGAAAGGUCUUCGUGUCCUUUCCCACGUUCACCGUGCCAGUUACACACAAAGCAGAGAUUUUUUUGCUUGAAUCAUUAAAAGCCGGGUGGGUGGGGGGCACCCUAUGUACUGUCUUGCCCUCCUUCGGCCCCUUUCUCACAUUUAUUUGCCAUUUUCUUUUUGCUGACAAGUUCCAUUACAGAAUGCCCCCUCCAUCCCCCGCCGCCAGAUUUUUUAUAUUUCAAUUGUUAUUUACUCCAAGAGUGUGGAAAGUUCUCCUUUAAGAUUCCCCCGCCUUGAACUCUAAACUCAGAGUGGAAAGGGAAUCUGAAAAGUCUCUCAUUUAGCAACACAUCACAUCAGUCCUUUUUGUCAGAUAAACACAGGCACAAUUGCUUUUAAAGAUCUUCAGAAGGAGGAGUCCACCACUUCCACAGUAGAUCCAGAGAGACCCGAACUGAAUGCUUUGCCUUCUCCUUGUGUUAGGAGUUCAGAGGUUCCAUUUGCUUUAAAACACAAGAAGCUACUAAUAAAAUAUAUUUAUUUCGGCAAGGUACCUAUUUUCUCCAAAAGUUUCACCUUCAGUAAUUGCCACAGGAGUAAUUAGAACUCUGUGUUCUAUAAAAUGCCUGACACAUUAAAGACACAAAAUUAGCAUUUGUUUUUAUUCAUGCAAGGAUUUAAAACCAAACCAAAACAAAGCAAAACACCCAGCAAAUAUCAGUUUCCUACAAAUAGUGUAAAAAAACCUCUUGAGGAAUCUUUGUGACCCACACUCCAAAUUGAAAGAGUGCCAUGGAUUUCCCCAAAUUUAGAAUCCUGUCUGGGUUAGAGGAUUUUUUUGGAAUUUCUCAUCACUUGACAAAACAGUUUUCUCUUUUCAAAUAUAAAAGAGCUCCUUGUAAAAUGCUUGGUAAAUUUCUGGGAAGCCGAGUGUUUCUUCCAGAGGGAAGGAUACCUGGAAAUCCGGAUGUAAGCAAGAUAAACCUGUAGCUAAAGCUUUCUUAAAAUUCAUUGAUUCUGGGGGAAGGAAAUAAGUGAUUAGAAAAGUAUUUGGUCAACCAAAACCAUGAUAGUUUGAUAUAUUUACUGCACUGAAAAUACACUAGAAUCAUAUGCAUAGUGGAGCUUGAAGUGGAAAGCCCACCUUACAUUUUGGAAGAAACUUUUAUAUUUCAAUCCCAUAGAUAUCUAAUUUAUUUAAGGAAACAGGAUAUCUCUGUCUCAUAAGAAAAAAAAUAACAUCUGACUGAUUUUUAUAGGAAUGCUUGGGAGUUUACUCUUUUACUUGAAAGGUUUUUUUUUUUUUUGCCUUUUUUUUUAAACUUUAGAAACAGAGGCGUUUCUUAGUUAAGAUAACAGGGCUUACUACAGUAUUCUUUAAUUAUCAAGGUCCCUUGUAACUCUAAGUCUGUUAUCUCUAAUUGGAGAGAUAAUUAAAUCUUAAAGACCACUCUGACUCUAAUUCAACCAACGUGUGUGGUGUCCAGGAUCGUUGGACUUCCUUAAGAAUUCUAUUUUAUCCAGGUGGGUUCUUCCUCAGUAAAUUGUAUUCUCCUAUUGGUAGGAAAUACUCUUGGAUUUCUUUCUUUCUUUCUUUUUCUUUCUUUCUUUCUUUCUUUCUUUCUUUCUUUCUUUCUUUCUUUUUCCUUCUUUCCUUCUUUCUUUCUAAAACUGUAUUCAGAGAGAGAAAUGUGACAAAAAAAGGGAAAUCAAUAGAGACAGAAAGUAGAUUCAUGGGUACCCAAGUUUAUGGGCUGGGAACAGGAAUUAACUGUAAAAGGGCACAGGGAAUCUUAUUGAGGUGAUGGAAAUCUGUGUUCUAAAACUACAUUGCAGUGAUGACUGUACAAUUUGGUAAAAGCUUCAAAAUUCUGGGGAUUAUACACAAAAUGAGUGAAUUUUACGGUAUGUAAAUUAUGCUUCAAUAAAG